rnacentral:misc_RNA from 1 species
GUCAAGGCCUGAUUUCGACCUCUAAAGAUUCAGUUUGAUCCACGAUUAUGGAUAUGCAUGUCCAAACUUCAAAGCGACUACCGUCGAUUUGGAAAGAUUACCUGAUUUCUCACAUAAUAACAGAGUCGGGUAAUGACAGUGGCUCCUGGUUGGGUCUAUCAUGCAGGAAAUGUCAACCGUUGAGAUUCGAAUGAUUUCACAAAGUCUUUGGACUCAUAGCAGAGUGGAGAACUCGAGUUUCAGGUGCUGAUAUAUGAGAUGCUAUUACAAAUAUAAUCAUGUUAAAGUUGCAGAGAGUGACCAGAAGCUUUCCCAUUUCGAGAACAGAGAUCAGGGGAACCAAACCAAGAUUGGAUUGACUUAUAAGUGGAGUUUUGGGUUAGAGUCUGUU